rnacentral:lncRNA from 1 species
UUUAGAAUGUGACACUGUCUGGAGCUGGGUCUCUGUCUUUGUGUAAUGUUUGCAUAUUAGAAUGUUUGAGUUCCUAUCUGAGUAUACAUUUGAGCUGUUGUGUGUUCCUAUGUGUGUCUGCUGUAGGUCUCUGUGUGUUUUUAUCAAAGUAUGUCUGUGUAUACACAUUCACACACACACACACACACACACACACACACACUUGGCACUUGGCUCCCCUAAUAUGCUGAAUGGGCCAUUACGCCUCUUGCAUGUGGGGCUGGGGGUGGAUGGGGGGGGGACAGAGGAAGGCAGCAGGAUUCUGUAAGAACAUUAAAUCCCAAAUAAAGUAGAAAAUAUUUUUUAAAAUUACCGACUUCCCGUUUUCUCCGAAAUGGAGUGAAACGAGGCUGGUCCCGAGGCGGGGGCUCCGCGGGGCCAGCCACUGGAAAGGGGCAGCGCUUUAUUUUUUAUUUUUGUAAUAAGAGGAACUGAAUUAGAAAAAACGGGGAAGGAAGAGCAGAGUCAGAUUGUUAAAGGAUUCAAUGAGCUGUGGCCAAUGUAUUCGAAAGGUGCUUAAGGCAGCAGAGCCGCUCACCAAACACACUCGCACGCAUGCACACACACACACACACACACACACACACACACCAAGGCACCACAUACCGCCAUCACACUCACACGACCAAGACAAAGGCACAUUCAACCACAUUUGCAUUGGGACACACACCCAGAGACACACACAGGGCACAUGGACACACUAAACCCACUCUACACAUCUUCCCAUAGCCAGUACACUCUCCAAGAUGCACACGUCUAAGGUGCCAAGCAACAACAGAUACCCCAAGACACAAAAUCAUCUAUUGCAAACAGAUACACACAAAGAUACAGACACCCACAUACACAUUCUAUAGUCAUACAAAGGCACCCACCCUCACUGCUCUUGGAUCCACACAAACGUUUUCAUAUGCAAUGACUAAAUACAUAUCUAACACCUGUAUACUCACUCCCAUAACAAACUCAUCACAAAUAGAGUUCACACUUGCCAACAUCCUGUUCUCUCACCCAGACACCAUGACUGAUAUACAUAGACAUCCAGGCCCUAGGCACACCCACACCAUCACACACAGUCACCCAACACGCCCCAUGUGCCAUUAUUAACAACGAUACCACAUGUUUAUAAACAGAUUUACAGUUGACCAUUUAUUUCAGUCUAUUUAUUUCAGUCUAUUUAAGCCCCACGAUCAUUUCUGUGGAACAGGUAGCCCCAUCCUUACUUCAGAGAUGAAGCAACAAAGCUAAGGGCAGAUGAAUGAACCAUCUAAAGCCACACACCAGCAGCAGGCCAAAGCCAGGAGGCAAGCCUCCUAUUUUAAAAUUUAAAUUCCCACACACACACAGUCCUGCUCACACUCUUAUGAUCUCAGCCUCAUGCUCAUCUGCUGACACAGGUUCCCAGUCAUAUCCUGUCACCUGUUUGCAGGCGCACAGGCUCAGUCACCCCUUCCACUUCCUGGUUUCUGUUUCUCCAGCUGCUUCCUCGUCCUGCCUCUCUGAAGAGCUGGAGUUAAGGGGUGCUGACAGGACAGAGGAGGCUAGGACUCCUGCUCUCCAUUACACCUAGAACUGCAUUCCUCCCACCCUACCUCCUGGCUGCUCCAGCCCCUCCUCUAGGGCCUGGGAAAGGUGAGCUCCAGCCUCCCUCACCCCACUCUUCCCACACAUUCUAACCGAGGGGACAUUAAAAAGUGCUGACAGGGCAGGGGAGAGGCCACCUGCCUGCCUGCCAGUCAGGCCACUUUCAUCUCAGCCGCCUCCUGCCAAAGCCACCCGCCCUGGCCUGCCCUCUCCCAGGUCCUGCUUUAUUAAUCUGGCCCCAUCUGGCCAGCCAGGCCUGCCCAGGCGCCCUCACCUCCCCUCUGCUCCAGCACCAGCAGGGGAGGCUCCACUCCCUGCACCAAUCAUCCCAGGUGGCAUGGAGAGUGCCUCUUACAGUCCCAGGAAGCUCGUUCUCUGCUAGAUUUACUGCAAGAGAUAAGGUCUCCCAAGGGGCCCCCCAGACACACAGACACAUCACAGUCCUACAUUAACAUUGCACGGCAACACACACUACUACCCAUAAUGCUGGCCACACCCGCUGUUGUUGUCACAUCGAGUUAGACACAACACCCACAAUGCAGGCACACAUAAUGACACCGAGAGGAGCCUUACAAUUACCCACAGUGGCCAUCAUUUAGAGCACAUGGUCAACACAUUUACAUACAAGCACUCACAUAUAAUGAUACAAUGCAUCAACAUCACACACAAGGGCACACUAUCACCCAUCAUGUUGGUUGCCCAUAGUGAUGACUGAACAGUACCUGGCUCACAGUAGCACUUAAUAACUUAGUAUUUAUUGAAUCAAUAAGUGAUACGAUAGCAACACACUCACACACCAAAUGCACACAUACACCUCAGAGCCACAAAAAGUGGAAACCAGACCCAUUGAGAGCACCCCAAACAGCAUGUGACUGAAGUCAGAAAAGCAGACAGAAGGAGAUGGAAUGAAAGGAACUCAGCUGAGACAGGGUUGGGGACAGGGCAUUCAUUUACCUUUGACAACUGGAGAUAUCUUUUCAAAACACAAAUCUAAUCCUUGAGUGAAGAAGCCCCAGCACUCUUUAACAGCCUGUGCAGCCCUGCCAGGUGUAUGGCCCCAACUCCUGCCUGGCUGUGUUCCCCACUUCCUAUGCUCCAGCCACCUUGCUUGCUCACUCGCUCCUGCCAUGGGGCUUUGUGUAUGCUGCUCCUUCUACCUCCAACACUUCUGUCCUCUAUUCUCCUAGUUCACCUUUAGCUUUGGGCUCCAGGGCACUUCCUACCUAGGUUACAUCCCUCGUGUUACAGACUAAAUGUUUGUGUCUCCUCAAAUUCCUAUGUUGAAACCUAAUUCCCAAUGUGAUAGUAUUUGGGGGCAGGGCCUUUGGGAAGUGAUAGGUCAUAACAGUAGAGCCCUCAUGAAUGGGAUUAGUGCCCUUAUAAAAGGGACUUCAGAGAGUUCCCUCACUCCUUCCACUCUGUGAAGCCACAGUGAGAGAAUAGUCAUCUGUGACCCAAGUGCAUCCUCAUUAUAAAUCAAGUCUGUCUGUGCCUUGAUCUUAAGAUUUCCCAGCCUCUACAACUCUGAGACAUAAAGUUCUGUUUAUAAGUCACCCAGUCCAUGGUAUUUUUGUUCUAGCAGCCCAAAUGGACUAAUAUUCACUUACAAGUCCUUCUUACCAUACCACUGAUCUCCUUCAUGGUACUUCCCACAGAUAUAGUUUUCCUGCCCUCACCACUAGACUGAAAGCCCCAUGAGGGCAGGCAGUGACUGCUUUUGCUUCCAUUAACUCCCAGGACUGGUACCUAAUAGUCCUGAGGGCCUACUGUGUACUCAAUGCAUAGUAGGUGCUCAAUAAACAUCUGCUAAGCAAAUGAAUGACAAAUACAAAGCAUACAAAAGAACACUAGAGGAAUAGCUCAGCUAGAAGUUAAUUCCUAGAGCAAUAGGACUGAGAGUGAUCUGAGGAGAUUCUGAGUUUUUGCUCUUGCUGUGUGACCCUGGGCAAGUCCCUUCAUCUCUCUGGGUCUCAGUAUUUUCACCUAUAAAUGAAGGCGUCAGGGGCACCUGGGUGGCUUAGUCGGUUAUGCGUCUGCCUUCAACACAGAUCAAGGUCCCAGGGUCCUGGGAUGGAGCCCCACAUUGGGCUCCCUGCUCUACGGGGAGCCUGCUUCUCCCUCUCCCUGCCAUUCCCCCUGCUUGUGCUCUGCCAAAUAAAAUCUUUUUAAAAAAUGAAAGCAGGUACACCUGGGUGGCCCAGUGGUUGAAUGUCUGCCUUUGGCUCAGGAUGUAAUCCUGGGGUCCUGGAAUCAAGUCCCGCAUUAGGCUCCCCACAGGGGGCCUGCUCCUUCUGCCUAUGUCUCUGCCUGUCUCAGAAAUAAAAUCUUUUAAAAAAGAAAUGAAGGCAAAAAAAAAAAAAAAAAGAAAUGAAGGCAUCAAACUUUCAAUAUGUAGUCUGUGGGGCUCUAGGGGUUCUCAGGAACAUCCAAGGCUUCUAUGGGGAAGAUGCGGAAGCUUGCUGAUAAAAGCCACUUCUACUUUUAGCUCUGUGUUUUCAGAAUUGAGUAGAAGAUUCUAAAGUUUAAAAUACUCCUUAAAAAAAAAUACUCCUUGAAAUCUCUGGACGAGGUGAUUUCUGGUUCCCUUCCAGAAUAUUACAAUGCAACAAAAGCAAAAUGGUUCCCAAACAGUAAGAUACUAGAGCAUGUGCUUUUUAUCUGCAAAGUUAUUUAAGUGGACCACCCAUCUGCAGAAUCAACAGAAGAAAGAAGCAAUAAGAAGUGAAUGUGCCUAACUGGAGAAAUCCAAGAGGAGAGUUUUCAACAUCUUGUGCUGAUUCCUAACUCUGGUGACAGAUUCAAAGAGACCAAGGAGCUGAUGAGGGAGGGAUCAGGGCAUCAUAUCCCAGAAGGAAUGGUGAUCAAAGCAAUGGCCAAACAAAGGUAAGUCUGGCCUGAACUGGAGUAGCAAAAGACUAUGGGGGGAGGGAGAGAGGGGCACAGGGUGGUCCACAAGCUUCCUGAAAAAGCCCAAAUGCACUGAGGAUAGCAAACAGGAAAAAAACUCGAUGGUCAGAUCACCUCACGGGAGUGAACUUUAUCCUUGGGAAGGGAAGGAUGAAGGCACAGGAAUCACUGAGUCUGGAGGGCAGCAUAAAAAAGCCAGAUAAAUUAGAAUAGUUAUAGGACAUGGGCUAUCUGUUCUGUGUUCCUUGAGGAAGGGCAGAGGAAAUAGCCUAAACUGGGGGUUAAGAGGGAAUGGGGGUACAAAGAAAGGCUACAGAAUUGAGCCUGGAGAAAUCUGUUACUUUGUACCCAAGACGAGGAUAGUUCCUUGGGAACUCCUAGGUCAGAGAACCUCAUCUUACUUCUUCCCAUCCAUCAGCCUCACUGCUUCCUCUCUCACAAAUACACCUUCUUCAUCUGGCCUCAGAACCCUCUGUCCCUUUCUCCUUGAACUCCAAAACCUCCAGCCACCCUCACCCACUGCCUCCUUCCUUCAACGGCCCCACUGCUUGUCUCUGCCCUCCAUUCUGCUGCUGUCCUAAAGUCAUUUGCUCUGGAAGCAGUCAGCCCCUGAGCAUUUCCUCCAUCGUGUCUGACAUUGGUGAGGCCCUCCUACAAGCUCUUGGCCUGGUACCCUGGCCUGACUCUCUCUUAUGGGCAGAGGCCCAGGCUAUCUGAAGGUUUCAGUGCUUCUCCUCCACACUCUCUCAUGACCAAUGUAUCCGCAAGUGGGUCUUGAAAUUAAACCAGCAACCCCACAGGAAUGACCCUCAAAGGGGCCCUAUUUCACCUGUGUAUGGGCACUCAAUAGAUGUGGAUUACUAACUCCCAAACCUGUACUUCAGAUCUGACUUUGACUAGCAGCUCCUCACCAGACCUCUCCUGACUCCCUAUCAUCACCUUAAAUUCACCAUGAUUACUGUGUCCCAAACACCAGACGUGGGUCCCAAACCAGGCCACCUCUUCCAGAAUUCCCUCUCAGGUCAGUACCUGCCAGAUCCAACCCAGCCCUCUCUCUCUUUUUUUUUUCCCCCAGCCCACUCUCAUUCAUGCCUCUUCCCACUGGGAAUUUCCUUAUUGUUUCCACUUAUCUGCUCACUCCAACCCCAAACUCAGUCCAGUUUAUGUGCCCUUCCUGCCAUGUUUUGGCCCCACUACCCUAAGGAGUCCUCAGAUUCUCCCCCUCUCAUCCAACCUCUUCCCUGGCUGUAUAAGUAUCUUCCUAAAUAGAACAUGCCCCUCAUCCAGAGCCCCACAGCUCUCUAGCUCUGCUGCUCAGUGUCCAGACCCCUCAGCUUGGCCUUCUGGGGUUUGGUCCCAGCCUACCUUUGUGGUCACCCUUCUCUCCAGGGAACCUUGCCUCCAUCAGGAUCUGAUUCUUCCCAGGUCCCCUACAGAUGUAUGUGCUCAUUCCAAACACUCAGCACUUGCUCAACCUGCUCCAGUCUCUGGAACUGCUACUCUUCUGAGGAGUUAAAAUCUCAAGCACCCUUUCCAGCACUUCCCCUGCACAUUCUCAACUGGGAUGUGACUGCCUACUGUUAACACUCCUGGCUCCUGCCUACAAAACCCAGGCCACUGUGAUAAACAUGUCCCCCGCUGAGAACCACUGGCUGGAUCCUGUUCUCUCACCUUUCCCCCCCCACUACUUGACCCUCUCUAAAUGACCAAUAUGCCCCAGGACCUUCUUUCACUUUCCUCAAAGUCCUCAGCUUCUUGUUAAGAGGCUGUAAGAAAUAAAAAACAAUAAUAAUGGUAAUAAAUGACACCUUCUUCAAUAGCGCAUUCUAUGUGCUAGACACUGUUUUAAAUGUUUUACAUAUAUUCGUUUAAACCUCACAAACACCUAUAAGAUAGUAUUACUAUCCCCCACUUUUCAGAUGAGGAAAAUGAGGGAGAGAUUAAGUAACUUACUUAAGGUCACCUACCCAUUUAGCUAAUAAAAAGGGACAGUAGAAAACAUAGGCUUUGGGGUCAGAAAAAACUUUCUUUUCUUUUUUUUUUUUUUUU